rnacentral:rRNA from 1 species
GAGUUUGAUCUUGGCUCAGAUUGAACGCUGGCGGCAUGCCUUACACAUGCAAGUCGAACGGCAGCACGGGAGCUUGCUCUUGGUGGCGAGUGGCGAACGGGUGAGUAAUGCAUCGGAACGUAUCCUGGAGUGGGGGAUAACGUAGCGAAAGUUACGCUAAUACCGCAUAUUCUGUGAGCAGGAAAGCGGGGGACCUUCGGGCCUCGCGCUCUUGGAGCGGCCGAUGUCGGAUUAGCUAGUUGGUGAGGUAAAGGCUCACCAAGGCGACGAUCCGUAGCAGGUCUGAGAGGAUGAUCUGCCACACUGGAACUGAGACACGGUCCAGACUCCUACGGGAGGCAGCAGUGGGGAAUUUUGGACAAUGGGGGCAACCCUGAUCCAGCCAUGCCGCGUGAGUGAAGAAGGCC